GACGAACCGUGCGAACGUUAUUCGGAAUCACUGGGCUUAAAGGGCGCGUAGGCGGGCCGCCAGGUCCGGGGUGAAAUCCUCCAGCUCAACUGGAGAAGUGCCUUGGAUACCGGCGGGCUCGAGGGAGGCAGGGGCGUGCGGAACUUCGGGUGGAGCGGUGAAAUGCGUAGAUAUCCGAAGGAACACCGGUGGCGAAAGCGGCUUUCUGGGGCUGUCCUGACGCUGAGGCGCGAAAGCUGGGGGAGCGAACAGG
rnacentral:rRNA from 1 species